rnacentral:tRNA from 1 species
CAAGAAGUAGUUUAUUAAAAUUUUAAUUUUGGAGAUUAAAGAUGGAGGAUUAUUCUCUUUUCUUGA